rnacentral:ncRNA from 1 species
GCGGUUCCGGUUCACGUCAGGCCCUCUAUGAGGGCAGCGCUCCAGGCGGGCGCGACGACCCGGCGGCC